UACGGAAGGCAGCAGUGGGGAAUAUUGGACAAUGGGCGGAAGCCUGAUCCAGCCAUGCCGCGUGUGUGAAGAAGGCCUUUUGGUUGUAAAGCACUUUAAGCGAGGAGGAGGCUACUAGUACUAAUACUACUGGAUAGUGGACGUUACUCGCAGAAUAAGCACCGGCUAACUCUGUGCCAGCAGCCGCGGUAAUACAGAGGGUGCGAGCGUUAAUCGGAUUUACUGGGCGUAAAGCGUGCGUAGGCGGCUGAUUAAGUCGGAUGUGAAAUCCCUGAGCUUAACUUAGGAAUUGCAUUCGAUACUGGUCAGCUAGAGUAUGGGAGAGGAUGGUAGAAUUCCAGGUGUAGCGGUGAAAUGCGUAGAGAUCUGGAGGAAUACCGAUGGGCGAAGGCAGCCAUCUGGCCUAAUACUGACGCUGAGUCGGAAAGGCAAUGGGGAGCAAACAGGAAUUAAGAAUAACC
rnacentral:rRNA from 1 species